UUACUUCCGCUUAGCAACCAGAACUCGUGUUUACAACUUGCCUAGCAACGGUAAAUAUGGCAGACGAACACAAGACGUUUCAACGUCCUACGCGGAUUUUUAUAAACAGAAUAGACACCUACUCGUCGAAAUGUAUCGCUCAGUAUCUGUCUACCUGCUCUGCUGGAGAAUCCUUUGAAGAAGAGUCUACACCUGAAGAGAGGUUUCAAAUUGUAGGGACUGUAAGCAAUAAAGAUGAAAAAAAGAGAAGCUUUGCUCUGGAAGAAUACUCUGCCUCAAAUCGAGACGAGCUCCUUCAACACCUGAUGGAUUGUGAUGUUAUUGUGUAUAAUAUCUCCGAAGAUGUUGAAGCGAUUGAUGAAGCAACAUGGGCUGUUUCAGCCCUCCAAAGUAAUAUUGAACACUUUACAUUUCCCAAGAUGUAUAUUUUGGUGUCAACGGUGAUGACGUGGGCAAAAACUAAACCAGCUGAUCCUGAUAGUCCUGAAAUUCCAGUGAAAGAAGAAGACUACACACGGAAGAAGCCACAUCCAAACUUCAAAGAACAUGCUAAUGCAGAGAAGCUUGUAUUGAAUUUGGGGAAAAUGGAAAAGACCAAGCUCCGCACUUACGUUGUUGGUGCAGGGAUGCAGUAUGGCAUGGGAGAAGGCAUCUUCCACCACUUCUUUAAGACAUGCUGGCUUGGGGAGUUGAGCACCAUCCCUAUACCAGAUCCAAGCACUAAUGUCAUCCCUACCAUCCACGUCAACGAUCUGGCUGGCAUACUGCAAAACAUCAUCGAUCACAAACCCAAAAUGCACUACUUAAUUGCUGUGGAUGACGCCCACAAUUCUUUGGAAGAAAUUGUAGCGGCUAUAUCAUAUGUUCUGGGUCCUGGAGAGGUUCAGAAAGUGCAUUAUGACAGUGUGCACCUCACAAAGGAACUUACGCAAACCGAUCUAGCUUGCCUAAGUAUAGACCUCCUCAUCGAGACAGUUUUGCCGAAAAGUCGGCUGAACCUGCACUGGGUGUGUGAAACUGGACUUAUUGAGAACAUCAACCUUGUUGUAGAGGAGUACAGACAGAUCAGACGGCUUCUACCAAUCAAGAUCUGUCUCCUUGGCCCGCCGGCUGUCGGGAAGAGUUCAGUCGCAGCACAACUGUGUAAACAUUACAAACUCCAUUAUAUUGGCGUUAAGGAAGCAGUUGAGGAGAAAAUAAAACAUUUGGAGAAAAUGCUACAACAGUGUGAGGAGAAUAAUGACACUGAGGGAUCGUUACAGGCUCAGGAACAGCUCAGCACUCUGAAGGAUGAUCUUUCCCAGAAUCAAGGUCAACUUGCAGACCAUAAUGUUUUGGACAUCAUCAGAGAGAAGCUUUACUCAAAGCCGUGCAGGAAUCAGGGCUUUGUUUUGGACGGCUACCCCUGUACACACGAGCAAGCUAACAAACUUUUCAAUGACGAGGAGAAGGAACCAGGGAACUCCAAAUCUCUUUUACUGCCCCAUGAUGAAAAGAUAAUACCAGAAUAUGUCAUUUCACUCGAUGCCACUGAUGAGUUUCUGAAAGAGCGAGUCCGGAACCUUCCUCAGUCUGUAGCAGAGGAGAUGCACUACACCCAGGACGAGUUUCUGCGGCGACUGUCCAUCUUCAGGGAUGCAAACACGGAGGAAGUAUCGGUGAUUGACUAUUUCGAUGAGCUGGAGAUAGAUCAUGAACACAUCGAGAUCAACAGUGUGGAUGACCCUGAAAACGAAGCUGUGAUUAAGAAAAUAAUCGAAGUGGUGGGAGAGCCGAGAAACUACGGUCCCACCCCUGAGGAACAAAAGGAACAGGAGAGGAUACGUGAACUGGAGAAGCAGCAACGCUUAAUGCAGGAAGAAGCCGAGCGUGCACUCAGAGAGGCUGAGGAGGAGACCAGGAUGACCGCUCUGCUGGAGGAAUGGGCUGAAGCUAUUGUGUCCCAUUUAGAACAGGAACAUGCUAGAGGUGAAAAAGCAGGAGCAUGAGUUACUGGAGGUACGCUCACUUCCACUGAGACACUACCUGAUGAAGUAUAUCAUGCCAGCUCUCAGAGAAGGACUUGGGGCCUGCUGCCAAGUGAAACCUGACGAUCCCAUCGACUUUCUGGCUGAAUAUCUUUUAAGAAACAACACAGACGACUAGCUUGCCCUUCACUG